GACGAACGCUGGCGGCGCGCCUAACACAUGCAAGUCGAACGAGCGAGAGAGAGCUUGCUUUCUCAAGCGAGUGGCGAACGGGUGAGUAACGCGUGAGGAACCUGCCUCAAAGAGGGGGACAACAGUUGGAAACGACUGCUAAUACCGCCUAAGCCCACGACCCGGCAUCGGGUAGAGGGAAAAGGCGCAAUCCGCUUUGAGAUGGCCUCGCGUCCGAUUAGCUAGUUGGUGAGGUAACGGCCCACCAAGGCGACGAUCGGUAGCCGGACUGAGAGGUUGAACGGCCACAUUGGGACUGAGACACGGCCCAGACUCCUACGGGAGGCAGCAGUGGGGAAUAUUGCACAAUGGGGGAAACCCUGAUGCAGCGACGCCGCGUGGAGGAAGAAGGUCUUCGGAUUGUAAACUCCUGUUGUUGAGGAAGAUAAUGACGGUACUCAACAAGGAAGUGACGGCUAACUACGUG
rnacentral:rRNA from 1 species